rnacentral:rRNA from 1 species
AACGAACGCUGGCGGCAGGCUUAACACGUGCAAGUCGAACGCCCCGCAAGGGGAGUGGCAGACGGGUGAGUAACGCGUGGGAACAUACCCUUUCCUGCGGAAUAGCUCUGGGAAACUGGAAUUAAUACCGCAUACGCCCUACGGGGGAAAGAUUUAUCGGGGAAGGAUUGGCCCGCGUUGGAUUAGCUAGUUGGUGGGGUAAAGGCCUACCAAGGCGACGAUCCAUAGCUGGUCUGAGAGGAUGAUCAGCCACAUUGGGACUGAGACCCGGCCCAAACUCCUACGGGAGGCAGCAGUGGGGAAUAUUGGACAAUGGGCGCAAGCCUGAUCCAGCCAUGCCGCGUGAGUGAUGAAGGCCUUAGGGUUGUAAAGCUCUUUCACCGAUGAAGAUAAUGACGGUAGUCGGAGAAGAAGCCCCGGCUAACUUCGUGCCAGCCGCCGCCGUAAAAC